rnacentral:rRNA from 1 species
CCUACGGGAGGCAGCAGUGAGGAAUAUUGGUCAAUGGCCGGAAGGCUGAACCAGCCAUGCCGCGUGAAGGUCAGUGCCCUAUGGGCGUUAAACUUCUUUUGUGCGGGAGCAAUAAUGGUCACGUGUGACCAGACGAGAGUACCGUACGAAUAAGCAUCGGCUAACUCCGUGCCAGCAGCCGCGGUAAUACGGGGGAUGCAAGCGUUAUCCGGAUUUAUUGGGUUUAAAGGGUGCGUAGGCUGUGAGGUAAGUCAGCGGUGAAAUGCCCCCGCUCAACGGGGUGAAGUGCCAUUGAUACUGCCUGGCUGGAAUGCGGAUGCCGUGGGAGGAAUGUGUGGUGUAGCGGUGAAAUGCAUAGAUAUCACACAGAACACCGAUUGCGAAGGCAUCUCACGAAUCCGCGAUUGACGCUGAUGCACGAAAGCGUGGGUAUCAAACAGGAUUAGAUACCCGGGUAGUC